UUCUAGAACUCGCGAUGGCGGAGCUCAUGCGCAGCCCUCAGCUCAUGACCAAGCUACAAGCUGAGGUGAGGGAAAACACACCCAAAGGACAAGAAAUGGUGGCGCAAGAUGACAUAGCUAGCAUGACAUAUCUAAGAGCUGUGGUGAAGGAGACGCUCAGGCUGCACCCACCAGUGCCGCUGCUUCUCCCUCGCAUCUCUAUGGUGGACUGCGAGUUCGAUGGCUACACGAUCCCCUCUGGGACGCGGGUCAUCAUCAACGAAUGGGCUAUUGGUAGGGAUCCGGAGUCCUGGGAGAAAGCAGAGGAGUUCAUGCCAGAGAGGUUCCUCGAAGGUGGCAGCGCUGCGGCUGUCGAUUUCAGGGGCAAUGACUUUCAGUUUGUGCCGUUCGGGGCUGGCCGGAGGAUCUGCCCUGGCCUCAACUUUGGCAUGGCUACUGUUGAGAUCAUGCUGGCAAACCUUGUGUACCGUUUUGACUGGGAGCUGCCGGCUGGCAUGGAGAAGGAGGACAUAGAUCUAACGGAGGUGUUUGGGUUGACUGUCCAUCCCAAAGAGAAGCUCAUCCUGGUUCCAAAACCACGUGGUAGUGUUGUUCAUGCCGCGUAAGUAGAGUGAUCCUAUAAGCCUUGUUUGGAAACACAAUACUAAUCCUCUUCAAUCCAUACCUACUGGGAGGGGUUGAAGGAAAUUUAGUGUUUUCUAGAGUAAUCCACAUGUAUCGAAAGGGAAUGAGUUCAUCCAAACAAGGUACGUGAGUGUGCAUCUAUAGGCCACAGCACAUAUAGACGUCCUUGUGCCCAUUUGGUAUAGUAGCCAUAUGUAUACGAUGCUACUUUACUCGUUAUAAGUACUGUAAGACGAAAAAAGCAUGCACGUUCAUUCACCAUAUAAAUGGUACAUAUUGUACAUUAAAAUUCUGAUAAAACAAUAUGCAGUAUCUAUACAUCUUUACCUAUUAUUCAAGCAAGUAACGUUUCUGCCUGGAUUUUUCGUCCGUCGGGCUAUUUUUCAAAAAAAACCCUGACAUUUCGUGAUAUCAACCCGCAGUCCAAUUCUUCUGAGUAUAGGGGGGCUCGAGUGGAAAAAAUAGGAAAACAAGGGAUUAAAGCGAAAAGAGUUCCGCUCCAUCGUUCCCCUCCCCUCCCUCGGGGGAUCGAGAUCCGUCGCACUCUGUCCGGCUCCGGUCCCGUCCCUCGGGGGAUGUAGACGCCGCCGCUCCGUCCGGCCCUCCACCCAGCUCCCUCGUCCGCCGCUCCGUCCGGCCCUCCACCCAGCUCCCUCGUUCCCCUCCCCUUCCUCCGCCGCCCUCCCUCUGGGGAUCUAGCCGCCGCCGCUCCGUUCGGACCUCCACCCCAUGUCCACCGACGACCUCCCGCCAUCCUCCGACAUCGACGUCAUCAUCCUUCGUCGACUUCCCGCCGCCGCUCCAUCCGGAUCCGGGGCCUGCGGUCAGUUCCCACCUUCGCCCUCCUCCCCAUGUCCAUCGACGACCUCCCCUGUCCUCCGACAUCGACGCCAUCAUCCUUCGUCGACAUCCCGCCACCAUUCCGUCCAGAUCCGGGGCCUGCGGCUGUUUCCCACCUUCGCCCUCCACCCCAUGUCCACCGACGACCUUCCGCCAUCCUCCGACAUCGACGCCAUCAUCAUCUUCAGGGACCCGCGCAAUGCCGACCGUGUGGACCCGGU
rnacentral:lncRNA from 1 species